rnacentral:lncRNA from 1 species
AAACUACAGUCACGAGCGGAAGAGUGGAGGAGCUCUGGGGGGGGGCCGCCUAACUUCUAGUGCCGGGGGUCAGGCACGGUGUUAGAUUGCCGCUUAGCCAACAGUGCUGUACGUUACUGGCAAAUUGGCCAGUUCUGUGGCAGUUGAAAAUUGAUACUGAACACUGCUGUGCGCUUCCACUACUUAAUACUGUAAUUCACGGUGGGACUGAAAGUGCUGCUGUCCCAAAAGAAGGGUGUUUCUGGCUUGGCCUUAAGUCAUCACCUUGCCUUUGCCUGGUACUCGCUGGACUGUUGGUAGAGCCUGUUGUUGCUGCCACUGCCCCUGCUUCUAUGUGUUCCUGUGCUUGCUGAUUCAAUCUGGACAUGAAAGCACUGAAGAAGCAUGCACUUUGGAUGAAAUUUGGCUGAAUUCUUAAGACAUAAGAGGUACUUAUUAUUGAAAUUGUUAAUACAGCAAUCCAUGCAUUAGUUAAAAAUAUAAAUAAUAACUUGACAUGGUGUUAGUUGAAUUCUUAGUUCUAGCUGUUAAAAGUUAAUAUUCAUAAUUCUUCCUUUACUGUCUUCUUUUUCAUCCUUAUCCC